AUUGAACGCUGGCGGCAGGCCUAACACAUGCAAGUCGAGCGAGCGGCGGACGGGUGAGUAAUGUAUGGGGACUGCCCGAUAGAGGGGGAUAACUACUGGAAACGGUGGCUAAUACCGCAUACUAUCGGAUAACCCAUAUGGGAUUAGCUAGUAGGUAAGGUAAUGGUUUACCUAGGCUACGAUCCCUAGCUGGUCUGAGAGGAUGAUCAGCCAGACUGGGACUGAGACACGGCCCAGACUCCUACGGAGGCAGCAGGGGGGAAUAUUGCACAAUGGGGGCAAGCCUGAUGCAGCCAGGCCGCGUGUAUGAAGAAGGCCCUAGGGUUGUAAAGUACUUUCAGUCGGGAGGCGUUACCGACAGAAGAAGCACCGGCUAACUCCGUGCCAGCAGCCGCGGUAAUAC
rnacentral:rRNA from 1 species